rnacentral:rRNA from 1 species
GAUGAACGCUGUCUACAGGCUUAACACAUGCCAGUCGAGGGGAAACGACGGGGAAGCUUGCUUCCCCGGGCGUCGACCGGCGCACGGGUGAGUAACGCGUAUCCAACCUGCCUCUGACUGAGGGAUAACCCGUCGAAAGUCGGCCUAAUACCUCAUGGCAUCGUCUGCGGGCAUCCAACGACGAUUAAAGAUUUCAUCGGUCAGGGAUGGGGAUGCGUCUGAUUAGCUUGUUGGCGGGGUAACGGCCCACCAAGGCUACGAUCAGUAGGGGUUCUGAGAGGAAGGUCCCCCACAUUGGAACUGAGACACGGUCCAAACUCCUACGGGAGGCAGCAGUGAGGAAUAUUGGUCAAUGGGCGGGAGCCUGAACCAGCCAAGUAGCGUGCAGGAUGACGGCCCUAUGGGUUGUAAACUGCUUUUAGGCGGGGAUAAAGUGAGGGACGUGUCCUUCAUUGCAGGUACCGCAUGAAUAAGGACCGGCUAAUUCCGUG